rnacentral:rRNA from 1 species
CUUAAAGGAAUUGGCGGGGGAGCACUGCAACGGGAGGAGCGUGCGGUUUAAUUGGAUUCAACGCCGGAAAACUCACCAGGGCCGACUGUCAAAUGAAGACCAGCGUAAUGAGCUUGUCGGAUUGUCAGAGAGGUGGUGCAUGGCCGCCGUCAGUUCGUACCGUAAGGCGUUCUGUUAAGUCAGAUAACGAACGAGACCCUCAUCCUCAUUUGCUACUCAGGUCUCCGGAUCUGAGGCACUAUGGGGAGACCGCUGGCGCGAAGUCAGAGGAAGGCGAGGGCAACGGUAGGUCAGUAUGCCCCGAAUGUCCUGGGCUACACGCGCGCUACAAAGGAUGGGACAAUGGGAAGCCACGCCGAGAGGCGGAGCUAUCCCGAAACCCAUUCAUAGUUCGGAUUGAGGGCUGUAAGUCGCCCUCAUGAAGCUGGAUUCCGUAGUAAUCGUGUCUCAAAAUGGCACGGUGAAUAUGCCCCUGCUCCUUGCACACACCGCCCGUCAAACCAUCUUAGUUGGGAUUGGGUGAGGCUGCGCUUUAUGGCGCAUUCGAGCCUGGUUUCGACAAGGAGGGUUAAGUCGUAACAAGGUAUCU